CAGUCGCCGCGGGAAUACGAAGGGGGCUAGCGUUGCUCGGAAUGACUGGGCGUAAAGGGCGCGUAGGCGGCUUGUACAGUCAAAUGUGAAAUUCCUGGGCUUAACCUGGGGGCUGCAUUUGAUACGUGCGGGCUAGAAUGUGAAAGAGGGUCGUGGAAUUCCCAGUGUAGAGGUGAAAUUCGUAGAUAUUGGGAAGAACACCGGUGGCGAAAGCGGCUCACUGGACCAUAACUGACGCUGAGGCACGAAAGCUAGGGGAGCAAACAGGAUUAGAUACCCCGGUAGUCCUGUCUCUUAUACA
rnacentral:rRNA from 1 species